UGGCGCCCGAACAGGGACCUGGAAACGAGGGACUCCGUGAGGAAGAGGACGCCAAAGGACGGUCGACCGCUAACCCAGACAAAGGAGUAAAACUCUUCCGAUCUCCGCGGGAACCUGCCGCGUCUGAAUCGAAGGUAAGUGGCGCGUCCGAAAUGGGACAAGAAUUAAGUCAGCAUCAGAUCUAUGUAGGACAAUUAAAAGAGGCUUUAAAGAUACGAGGAGUAAAGGUUAAAGGUAAUGAUUUGUUUAAAUUUUUUGAUUUUGUGAAAGAUACUUGCCCUU
rfam:Papio anubis isolate 1X1155 chromosome 13, whole genome shotgun sequence.